rnacentral:rRNA from 1 species
AUGAGUGGCGAACGGGUGAGUAACACGUGGGAAACCUACCUCUUAGCAGGGGAUAACAUUUGGAAACAAAUGCUAAUACCGUAUAAUAAUUAAAACCGCAUGGUUUUAGUUUAAAAGAUGGUCUUGCUAUCACUAAGAGAUGGUCCCGCGGUGUAUUAGUUAGUUGGUGAGGUAAUGGCUCACCAAGACAAUGAUACAUAGCCGAGUUGAGAGACUGACCGGCCACAAUGGGACUGAGACACGGCCCAUACUCCUACGGGAGGCAGCAGUAGGGAAUCUUCCACAAUGGACGAAAGUCUGAUGGAGCAACGCCGCGUGUGUGAUGAAGGGUUUCGGCUCGUAAAACACUGUUGUAAGAGAAGAAUGACAUUGAGAGUAACUGUUCAAUGUGUGACGGUAUCUUACCAGAAAGGAACGGCUAAAUACGUGCCAGCAGCCGCGGUAAUACGUAUGUUCCAAGCGUUAUCCGGAUUUAUUGGGCGUAAAGCGAGCGCAGACGGUUAUUUAAGUCUGAAGUGAAAGCCCUCGGCUCAACCGAGGAAUUGCUUUGGAAACUGGAUAACUUGAGUGCAGUAGAGGAAAGUGGAACUCCAUGUGUAGCGGUGAAAUGCGUAGAUAUAUGGAAGAACACCAGUGGCGAAGGCGGCUUUCUGGACUGUAACUGACGUUGAGGCUCGAAAGUGUGGGUAGCAAACAGGAUUAGAUACCCUGGUAGUCCACACUGUAACGAUGAGUGCUAGUUGUUCGAGGGUUUCCGCCCUUGAGUGACGAAGCUAACGCAUUAAGCACUCCGCCUGGGGAGUACGACCGCAAGGUUGAAACUCAAAGGAAUUGACGGGGACCCGCACAAGCGGUGGAGCAUGUGGUUUAAUUCGAAGCAACGCGAAGAACCUUACCAGGUCUUGACAUCCUUUGACCACUCCAGAGAUGGAGCUUUCCCUUCGGGGACAAAGUGACAGGUGGUGCAUGGUUGUCGUCAGCUCGUGUCGUGAGAUGUUGGGUUAAGUCCCGCAACGAGCGCAACCCUUAUUGUUAGUUGCCAGCAUUUAGUUGGGCACUCUAGCAAGACUGCCGGUGACAAACCGGAGGAAGGCGGGGAUGACGUCAAAUCAUCAUGCCCCUUAUGACCUGGGCUACACACGUGCUACAAUGGCAAGUACAACGAGUCGCCAACCCGCGAGGGUGCGCAAAUCUCUUAAAGCUUGUCUCAGUUCGGACUGUAGGCUGCAACUCGCCUACACGAAGUCGGAAUCGCUAGUAAUCGCGGAUCAGCACGCCGCGGUGAAUACGUUCCCGGGUCUUGUACACACCGCCCGUCACACCAUGAGAGUUUGUAACACCCAAAGUCGGUGAGGUAACCUU